UACAGAGGUCUCAAGCGUUGUCCGGAUUCAUUGGACGUAAAGGGCGCGUAGGCGGCGCGGUAAGUCGGGUGUGAAAUUUCGAGGCUUAACUUCGAAACUGCAUUCGAUACUGCCGUGCUAGAGGACUGGAGAGGAGACUGGAAUUUACGGUGUAGCGGUGAAAUGCGUAGAUAUCGUGAGGAAGACCAGUGGCGAAGGCGGGUCUCUGGACAGUUCCUGACGCUGAGGCGCGAAGGCCAGGGGAGCAAACGGG
rnacentral:rRNA from 1 species